GAGGCUUCUAGAACUGAAGCAGAGGCUCUCCCUUCCCAAUUAAGUGGUCAAUAACUGUGCCACCGUCCUGCCUGGCCAUUUUAUCUGAAGCUGCCCAGGGAUCCUGCAGCAAUGGAACAUGCCCUCCAGUCCUGUGGCUGAGGAGGCUCCUGUGGCCCACCACCCCCUGCACGCUGGACAGGGGGCCUGGGUUGGCAGAGCCACAGGCACAGGGCCCUCUGCACGGGGAGGAGGAGGAGGAGGAGGAGGAAGGGCUCCUCCAACCGCAGGCCUGAGCAGAGGCUGUGCAGUGCCACUGCUGUGCUAAGGGUGUUUCCUCCCCACAGCAGCACACCCACACCAGCUCCCCUUCUGGGAGACCACCCCUGGCUUUGCUUCAGGGGGAGACAUUCCCAUCACCUCCAGCACAGCCAUGCUGAGGAUGCUCUGUGAUGAAGAAGAGUCACCCACUUGGUUUCUUCGCUCUGGGCAGUGUUCAUGGCACAGAGCCUCAGCUGUGGUGGCUCUGUUUGAACUCUGAGGCCAACUGGCUGUCCAAAAGACAAUUGCAUGGGAAAGCUGUGCCGGCGUAAGACAAAUCGUCAGUUUACCACCAUCACACACCUUGUACAGAUGUUCUUCAGUUUAACUGCCACUGCUGUGUAAAGUGCUUAUUUCAAAGUGAAAAGGCUGUUUUUAUCCAGAACUGUCCAGAAGACGUCAUAGUGCUGUAAUUAUAUCAGCAAUAAACAGUGAAGCUGCCACGGAGAGAGGAGCAAGCACAGCAAGGAGUUCUGCAGGGUGCUGGUGCCAAGCCAUAUCAAGGCAAUAGAAUUUAUGGCCACUAUUAUCUGCGUGAGGUAUAUUUAUGAUUCCCCUCCCUGUUGCUCUGUUAUCUUCAAAUCUCACAAUAUUUGUAUAUUAAUUCCCACAACAUUCCUGUAGGUAAGGAAAUUGCAUACAAGAAGCCCAGUAUUGGAGUCUCUUCAUGCAACAUGGAGCAGGGUUUGGAAGGUGGAGAAAUGAGAGAAAUUUUCAGCAGUUACAGGUGAGAAGCCUAGAGAAGCCUACGAGGCUGGUGCUGCAGCGACAGGCAGGGGGACAAGCUGAGCUCUUCAGUGAAGGAGGUGCUGCCCAACUGCCAGCAGGAAGCCAGCUGCAUUUCCUGGGCAGGUCCCAGCGUGAAUCGAAGCUGAAUUUGAGCAAUAACCCUUCUGAUGUCUCCGGGGGAGGAGAUGUGACGUCUUGAGGUAAACCACACAUCCCGUAACUACCACUGUGCCAUUCGUGAGCGCUGCCUCGCUACACAAGUGGCAGAAUUGCUUUUCAGCAAAAGUCACCACGGUUUUGGAGGGGAAGAGUUCCAGUCAGAGAAAGACCGGGUGGCGGGGAGAAAGAAAACCCGACCGCAAUAAAGCAGCAUUGAACCUGAAAGGAAAAAGACGU
rnacentral:lncRNA from 1 species